CAGAAAAGGGGCGAAACAGGGGCACUGGCCUUGGGGAAGAGCCGGAGCAGGGGCUAGAGCUGCGCGGAGCUGCGUAGGGCACCAGGAAAUUGGCACCAAAUUUCCUGGUGCCCUA